AGUGAACGCUGGCGGUAGGCCUAACACAUGCAAGUCGAACGGCAGCACAGUAAGAGCUUGCUCUUACGGGUGGCGAGUGGCGGACGGGUGAGGAAUACAUCGGAAUCUACUUUUUCGUGGGGGAUAACGUAGGGAAACUUACGCUAAUACCGCAUACGACCUACGGGUGAAAGCAGGGGAUCUUCGGACCUUGCGCGAUUGAAUGAGCCGAUGUCGGAUUAGCUAGUUGGCGGGGUAAAGGCCCACCAAGGCGACGAUCCGUAGCUGGUCUGAGAGGAUGAUCAGCCACACUGGAACUGAGACACGGUCCAGACUCCUACGGGAGGCAGCAGUGGGGAAUAUUAGACAAUGGGCGCAAGCCUGAUCCAGCCAUACCGCGUGGGUGAAGAAGGCCUUCGGGUUGUAAAGCCCUUUUGUGGGGAAAGAAAAGCAGCAGGUUAAUACCCCGCUGUUCUGACGGUACCCAAAGAAUAAGCACCGGCUAACUUCGUG
rnacentral:rRNA from 1 species